AGAGUUUGAUUCUGGCUCAGGACGAACGCUGGCGGUGUGCCUCAUACAUGCAAGUCGAACGAUAAGGUUCUUCGGAAAUACAUAAGUGGCGGACGGGUGAGUACAACAUAGGAAAUCUGCCCUAAACCGGGGGACAACAGAGGGAAACUUCUGCUAAUACCCCAUACGAGCUUAGUUGAAAUACUAAUCUUGAAAGCUCCGGCGGUUUAGGAUGAGCCUGUGCCUGAUUAGCUGGUUGGUGGUGUAAUGGACUACCAAGGCGACGAUCAGUAGCUGGUUUGAGAGGAUGAUCAGCCACAAUGGGACUGAGACACGGCCCAUACUCCUACGGGAGGCAGCAGGUAGGGAAUUUUGCGCAAUGGGCGAAAGCCUGACGCAGCAACACCGCGUGAAUGUUAAGCCCUUCGGGGUGUAAAGUUCUGUCAGUAGGGAAGAACAAAUGACUGUACCUACAAAGGAAGCACCGGCUAACUCCGUGCCAGCCGCGGC
rnacentral:rRNA from 1 species